rnacentral:rRNA from 1 species
UGGGGAAUUUUGGACAAUGGGCGAAAGCCUGAUCCAGCCAUGCCGCGUGAGUGAAGAAGGCCUUCGGGUUGUAAAGCUCUUUUAGUCGGAAAGAAAGAGUUGCAAUGAAUAAUUGUGAUUUAUGACGGUACCGACAGAAAAAGCACCGGCUAACUACGUGCCAGCAGCCGCGGUAAUACGUAGGGUGCGAGCGUUAAUCGGAAUUACUGGGCGUAAAGGGUGCGCAGGCGGUCUUGCAAGUCCGAUGUGAAAGCCCCGGGCUUAACCUGGGAAUUGCGUUUGAAACUACAAGGCUAGAGUGCAGCAGAGGGGAGUGGAAUUCCAUGUGUAGCAGUGAAAUGCGUAGAGAUGUGGAAGAACACCGAUGGCGAAGGCAGCUCCCUGGGUUGACACUGACGCUCAUGCACGAAAGCGUGGGGAGCAAACA